GGGAAUGAGGACGCGGAUGUAGUUGUAGCACUCGUCCUAGGGGCCCCAGGAAGUGGGACCAGAGGUCAAAGGUCACUGAAGAUACUGAUGGAGAAGAGAAGGAAAAAGGUUUUUGAAGAAAGCACUAAUUCUAGAGGUUGACCCCAGAGCCCUCUUUCUGCUGCCUGACCCCAGAACCCAGACUGUCCCACAGUCUCUCACCUUGUCUGGUACCAGCCCUUCCCAGUCUUGAGCUUGAAGAUCAAAGGAGAAAACAUGAUCCCUAAAGGUACCAUGUCUAUGUUCAGUCCAUUCAUAUGUUCUGUGCAACUUACCGGGCAGCUACCAGCAAUGUCCGGUUCAGGAUCAAGAAU